rnacentral:rRNA from 1 species
GCCGCAGCCAAAACUGUGCUGAGGUAGCGUAGGAAUUUGCCUUCUCAUUAGAGGAUAGCAUAAAAGGAUAAACGAUUUCAAUAUUUUCUAAAUUAUAAAAUACUAACUUAACUUAAAUAUAAAAAGAUAUUUAUAACAAAGAAAGACAACAAGACCCUAUCGAACUUAACUAAUAGUUAAAUUGGGGAGAUUUAAAAUUAAAACUUUAAUAAACAAAUCUUAAUAUAGAUCCAAUUCAAUUGAUCAUUAAAACAAGUUACCGUAGGGAUAACAGCGUAAUUAAUAAUAAAAGUUCAUAUUUAAUUAUUAGAUUACGACCUCGAUGUUGAAUUAAUGAUUCUUUUUUACGCAAGAGUAAAAAAAGUAGGUCUGUUCGACCUUUAAAUCAUUACAUGAUUUGAGUUCAGACCGGCGCAAGCCAGGUCAGUUUAUAUCUUCUUCCAAAUAUAUGAUAGUACGAAAGGACCUCACAUUCAAUA